GCACUUAAUUCUGUCUAGUUUCUUUUUCUUAUUGUUAGUGUAAAUAACCUCCAUGGAAACUGGCUACUCUGAGUGAUAGAUACUUCGCUUGAAUGUCCGAAAUGAUGAAGAAUAUAUACAAGUGAGUGCGCGCGCGUGUUUUUUAUGCCUGGUAGAUACUCGGAAGAUAUUGGCUCGGUCUUUUUCCCAUCUCUACCCAUUUCCUUUACCAGCCAACAAGCGAUAGUUGAACAUAUAAACCAGAGUCGUUAUCACCGUUUCCUCUACCUAGUUUUUUAAAGAGUUUAUAGACUUAAUUGUAUUACAAAGACGCCGUUUUAGUGUAAGAAAAUUAAACACUUUAAA